AUUGAACGCUGGCGGCAGGCCUAACACAUGCAAGUCGAACGGUAACAGGAAGAAGCUUGCUUCUUUGCUGACGAGUGGCGGACGGGUGAGUAAUGUCUGGGAAACUGCCUGAUGGAGGGGGAUAACUACUGGAAACGGUAGCUAAUACCGCAUAACGUCGCAAGACCAAAGAGGGGGACCUUCGGGCCUCUUGCCAUCGGAUGUGCCCAGAUGGGAUUAGCUAGUAGGUGGGGUAACGGCUCACCUAGUCGACGAUCCCUAGCUGGUCUGAGAGGAUGACCAGCCACACUGGAACUGAGACACGGUCCAGACUCCUACGGGAGGCAGCAGUGGGGAAUAUUGCACAAUGGGCGCAAGCCUGAUGCAGCCAUGCCGCGUGUAUGAAGAAGGCCUUCGGGUUGUAAAGUACUUUCAGCGGGGAGGAAGGGAGUAAAGUUAAUACCUUGGCUCAUUGACGUUACCCGCAGAAGAAGCACCGGCUAACUCCGUG
rnacentral:rRNA from 1 species